ACCUUACCUGGUCUUGACAUCCACGGAAGUUUUCAGAGAUGAGAAUGUGCCUUCGGGAACCGUGAGACAGGUGCUGCAUGGCUGUCGUCAGCUCGUGUUGUGAAAUGUUGGGUUAAGUCCCGCAACGAGCGCAACCCUUAUCCUGUGUUGCCAGCGGUCCGGCCGGGAACUCAAAGGAGACUGCCAGUGAUAAACUGGAGGAAGGUAGGGAUGACGUCAAGUCAUCAUGGCCCUUACGACCAGGGCUACAC
rnacentral:rRNA from 1 species